rnacentral:rRNA from 1 species
AUACAGAGGGUGCAAGCGUUAAUCGGAAUUACUGGGCGUAAAGGGCGCGUAGGUGGUUAGUUAAGUCAGAUGUGAAAUCCCCGAGCUCAACUUGGGAAUUGCACCUGAAACUGGCUAACUAGAGUACAGUAGAGGAAAGUGGAAUUUCCGGUGUAGCGGUGAAAUGCGUAGAUAUCGGAAGGAACACCAGUGGCGAAGGCGACUUUCUGGGCUGAUACUGACACUGAGGCGCGAAAGCGUGGGGAGCAAACAGGAUUAGAAACCCCAGUAGUCC